rnacentral:rRNA from 1 species
AUUGAACGCUGGCGGCAGGCCUAACACAUGCAAGUCGAACGGUAACAGGAAACAGCUUGCUGUUUCGCUGACGAGUGGCGGACGGGUGAGUAAUGUCUGGGAAACUGCCUGAUGGAGGGGGAUAACUACUGGAAACGGUAGCUAAUACCGCAUAACGUCGCAAGACCAAAGAGGGGGACCCUCGGGCCUCUUGCCAUCGGAUGUGCCCAGAUGGGAUUAGCUUGUUGGUGGGGUAACGGCUCACCAAGGCGACGAUCCCUAGCUGGUCUGAGAGGAUGACCAGCCACACUGGAACUGAGACACGGUCCAGACUCCUACGGGAGGUAGCAGUGGGGAAUAUUGCACAAUGGGCGCAAGCCUGAUGCAGCCAUGCCGCGUGUAUGAAGAAGGCCUUCGGGUUGUAAAGUACUUUCAGCGGGGAGGAAGGGAGUAAAGUUAAUACCUUUGCUCAUUGACGUUACCCGCAGAAGAAGCACCGGCUAACUCCGUG